rnacentral:rRNA from 1 species
UACGUAGGGGGCGAGCGUUGUCCGGAAUCAUUGGGCGUAAAGAGCGUGUAGGCGGCUUGGCAAGUCUGACGUGAAAGCCCGCGGCUCAACCGCGGAUUGUCGUUGGAAACUGCCUCGCUAGAGUCCGGAAGAGGAGAGCGGAAUUCCUGGUGUAGCGGUGGAAUGCGCAGAUAUCAGGAAGAACACCCGUGGCGAAGGCGGCUCUCUGGGACGGUACUGACGCUGAGACGCGAAAGCGCGGGGAGCGAACAGG